GGUAGCUAAUACCGCAUAACGUCGCAAGACCAAAGAGGGGGACCUUCGGGCCUCUUGCCAUCGGAUGUGCCCAGAUGGGAUUAGCUAGUAGGUGGGGUAACGGCUCACCUAGGCGACGAUCCCUAGCUGGUCUGAGAGGAUGACCAGCCACACUGGAACUGAGACACGGUCCAGACUCCUACGGGAGGCAGCAUG
rnacentral:rRNA from 1 species